rnacentral:rRNA from 1 species
GGAGUUAGCCGGUGCUUCUUCUGUGAGUGAUGUCCUUCCUGCCGGCUAUUAACCCGCAGGCCUUCUUCCUCACUGAAAGUGCUUUACAACCCGAAGGCCUUCUUCACACACGCGGCAUGGCUGGAUCAGGGUUGCCCCCAUUGUCCAAUAUUCCCCACUGCUGCCUCCCGUAGGAGUCUGGGCCGUGUCUCAGUCCCAGUGUGGCUGAUCAUCCUCUCAGACCAGCUACGGAUCGUCGCCUUGGUGAGCCGUUACCUCACCAACCAGCUAAUCCGACAUAGGCUCAUCCGAUAGCGCGAGGCCCGAAGGUCCCCCGCUUUCCCCCGUAGGGCGUAUGCGGUAUUAGCCUGGGUUUCCCCCAGGUUAUCCCCCACUACCGGGGCAGAUUCCUAUGCAUUACUCACCCGUCCGCCGCUCGCCACCAGGGAGCAAGCUCCCCGUGCUGCCGCUCGACUUGCAUGUGUUAGGCCUGCCGCCAGCGUUCAAUCUGAGCCAUAAUCAAACUCUGA